rnacentral:rRNA from 1 species
UACGAAGGGGGCAAGCGUUGUUCGGAUUUACUGGGCGUAAAGGGCGCGUAGGCGGAACGACAAGUCAGAGGUGAAAGCCCUGGGCUCAACCCGGGAAUUGCCUUUGGGACUGCCGUUCUAGAGUUCGGAAGAGGAUGGCGGAAUACCCAGUGUAGAGGUGAAAUUCGUAGAUAUUGGGUAGAACACCGGUGGCGAAGGCGGCCAUCUGGUCCGACACUGACGCUGAGGCGAGAAAGCGUGGGGAGCAAACAGG